AGUAGGUUUCAGUACGGGAAUUAUUUCUUGACGUUUCCACGUGGAGGGGAUGUUACCAGAUGUCACUAUGGAAUUUAUAAGAGAUAAAUAAUAAAAUAAAGCAUCAUCAUCUAAAUGAGAGAUAAAGGAAUACGGAAUACCGUCCAGUCCAGGAGCAGAAUCCUUAACAUGAGACAAUACACCUUUUAGUUCAGUGAGAGAAAAUAUACUGUUUAAACCAAAACAGUUAUCAUUAUUUAUAUUUAUUACAGGGUAACCAAUUAUUAAGUCUUCAGGAACGAAAGGUGGAGCCAAUUUAUCUAAAAAGCUAUUAACUAAAUGAAAAGGGAUUGAUUUUGGAGAUGAAUCUUUGUAUGCAGAUCUAAACCUUCUUAUAUUUUGCCAUACAAGAGAUGGUUUGACAUCAGCAUAUUUUCUUCUCUUUACUGCCUCAGUACAUUCGUUAUCCCACCAAGGAGGAGAAGGAAUAAAACCCAAAGAGCUAUUUUUACUUGGAAAUAUCUCAUUGGCAACCUCAAUAAAGAUUCUUGCUAAAGAAUCUGCACACUGAGAUUCUGUACCUGGAUUAAUUUUUGGAAGUGUAAUAAUUUUGUUUUUUAUUAGAUCUUUAUAUAAAUCCCAAUCAACAUCAUUAAGCUUAUAUUUUAAACGAGGAGAAUAAGUUUUAUGUAAUACUUUAUUGUUAUUAUUGCAGGUUGGAAAUGAUAAUAAUAGUGGGAAGUGAUCACUACCAAAAGUAGAUCGUAAUGGAUCCCAGGACAAAGAAGAAGCAAGAUUAGGUGUAGUGACUGUUAAAUCUGGAGCACUUGGGCCCUCGUCAGGAUGAGAACGUCGUGUAGGACGACCAUCAUUUAAUAUACACAAAUUCACUGAAUCAAAUAUAUCUAUUAAUGUGUUACCAUAACUAUUAGAAGAUAAGUAACCCCAGGAUUCAUGGCGACAGUUAAAAUCACCAAGGAUCAUAAAAGGCUUCGGAAGAAUGGAAAUAAUAUCUUUGAUUUCAUUUAACAUUGCAGAAGAAGGAUGAGAUGUAUAAAUAGAUACAUAACAGAUAUUUUCAACUAAAGCAGCAAUAAUAGAAAAAUCAUUACUGUGAGAAGGAAUAGAGAAGAGAGAAAAGGAAAGAGGGUGUUUCACAAGCAUGGCUACUCCGCCAUGCCCAUCCACACGAUCUUCUCUGAGACAUGAAUAACCUCGAAUCUUAAAUAAAGAUCCUGGUUUCAACCAUGUCUCUUGAAGAGCACAGAUAUCAGGUUUAUAUUUAUUUAAUAAAUAAAUAAGAUCAAUUUUUUUAGGAGUGAUGCUUUGACAAUUCCAUUGAAGAACUUUGUCCAUUAUUUGGUUUAUAAAUUAGAGUAAUUGCAGAAACUAAUAAGGCAGCGUUGGACGGUGAAAAUUCAUUCGAUUGACUAAGAGAUUUUAUAAGAGAAAUAAUUAAAUCAAUUACUGAGGAUUCCAAAGGAUUUUCAUUUACUUUGUUAAUUAAUGCACAUCCAUUAGAGGGUUGGGGAAUAUUAAAAUCCCUUAAAAUUUCUUGUGUCUGCAUAUUCUGGGUCGAGCUGACACUCUUUUACGGCCACUAGAUGUCUGAGACACAGAACCAUCUGUAUCCAUCGUGCUACCUUCGUCAUUAUGAGAAAUUGUCACUACAUGACCUAUAUCAGGGGCUGUCCCCCCAGGAUCAUCCGGGGGGUCCAUCAUAUCAUAGAAAAGUGAAGAAAAGAAGACUUACCAAUAGGAUGAAAUUUACACAAAUUAACACUUUAAUAAAAACUAACUACUAAAAUAUAUACAAACUACAACUUAUCUGAUCAAAAUAUCUAAAUAUUUACAUGAAAUUUAAAAAUAAAAUGAAAAAUUAUCAAAAUUA